GCCCGCCUAGCUCAAUCGGAUAGAGCGUCAGACUCUUAUGAUAUGUCGGUGGUGCGCAUGUGAUCUGAAGGCUGCGAGUUCGACCCUCGCGGUGGGCU